UUCAGUAACACUUUUUUUUGUUGCUUCUAUUUGUGUGUUAUGUAGUUUGGGCGUCCAUUGUAUGGAGAUGUCUUUGGCGUGCAGCAGCAAGAUCAGUCUAACUAUGAGGAUGAGCCUAUUGAUAAGAGCAAGCACUGGGGUGAUUUGUAGGAAGAAGAAGACGGCAUGGAAUCGGUUGAUACAUUGUCAAGCACUCCAACUAGCAUAGAGGCACCGGAUGCAAUUGAAAUUCGUAAGUAGCAGAGAAGAGAAAGGAACCAGAUAUGCCUCUAUAUCAAAAAAAACUCUGAAGGUAUUUGAAGAAAAGAGAGAGUGUUGCUACUGGAACAGUGUUGGGAACCACACACACGCAUGCGUUACUAAAACUGGUACUCAAGACAAGCCGGGAGGGAAAAGGGUUGAUUUGCUUAAGAGGACAAAAAACAGAUCGUGUGGAAUAUCAGUUUUGCAGCCAGAAGAGCUGGAUGCCAUGGAGAAUGUUUUACAUGCCAAUUAAGUAGUACGAACCACUACAACAUGUGAAUUAAAAGCCAUUGAAAAACUAAUGUUGUUAACUCUACCUUUUUUGGGGGUCAAAUUGUUAACUCUACCUACAUUUUGAUUUUUGGACGGUAUGGGGAGGCAAGAGAAGAGGAGAAACUACGCAAUAAGACAAAGGAGUUCAGUGACAUGGUCGCCGAGAACUCGAAGAAAAGGAAGCGUGAUAAGGAAAGGAAGAAAAGGAAGGAUUUCAAGUUUUGAGGAAAGCUCUUGUCUAUCUGUGAAUUCUAGAUUCUGGAAUCUGGACAUGUCCUGAGGAUGUGUUUUGCUUUACUUAACACUUAACACCGAGAGAGAGGGAGACUGAGGUAGAAAAUCUUUUGAGUUUAGAAAAUCUAAAUACUAUGGAUUCUAGAUAUUCUUGUGUUACCUCAAGUCAUCACAUUCAAAGUCAAAGCCUGAAAAGAACUCAAAUAACAAGCCUUUGAAUAAGCAAACAUCGUUGCUGUUGUUA